UACGGGGGGGGCAAGCGUUGUUCGGAAUUACUGGGCGUAAAGGGCUCGUAGGCGGCCAACUAAGUCAGACGUGAAAUCCCUCGGCUUAACCGGGGAACUGCGUCUGAUACUGGAUGGCUUGAGGUUGGGAGAGGGAUGCGGAAUUCCAGGUGUUGCGGUGAAAUGCGUAGAGAUGUGGAGGAACACCGAUGGCGAAGGCAGCCCCCUGGGUCAAGACUGACGCUCAUGCACGAAAGCGUGGGGAGCAAACAGG
rnacentral:rRNA from 1 species